rnacentral:rRNA from 1 species
AUUGAACGCUGGCGGAAUGCUUUACACAUGCAAGUCGAGCGGCAGCGCGGGGGCAACCCUGGCGGCGAGCGGCGAACGGGUGAGUAAUACAUCGGAACGUGUCCUUGAGUGGGGGAUAGCUCGGCGAAAGCCGGAUUAAUACCGCAUAAGCUCUGCGGAGGAAAGCGGGGGACUGGUAACGGCCUCGCGCUGUUGGAGCGGCUGAUGUCGGAUUAGCUAGUUGGUGGGGAAAGGCCCACCAAGGCGACGAUCCGUAGCUGGUCUGAGAGGAUGAUCAGCCACACUGGAACUGAGACACGGUCCAGACUCCUACGGGAGGCAGCAGUGGGGAAUUUUGGACAAUGGGGCAACCCUGAUCCAGCCAUUCCGCGUGAGUGAAGAAGGCCU